rnacentral:rRNA from 1 species
GACGAACGCUGGCGGCGUGCCUAAUACAUGCAAGUAGAACGCUGAAGGAGGAGCUUGCUUCUCUGGAUGAGUUGCGAACGGGUGAGUAACGCGUAGGUAACCUGCCUGGUAGUGGGGGAUAACUAUUGGAAACGAUAGCUAAUACCGCAUAAUAGCAGUUGUUGCAUGAUAACUGUUUGAAAGGUGCAAUUGCACCGCUACCAGAUGGACCUGCGUUGUAUUAGCUAGUUGGUGGGGUAACGGCUCACCAAGGCGACGAUACAUAGCCGACCGGAGAGGGUGAGCGGCCACACUGGGACGGGGACACGGCCCAGACUCCUACGGGAGGCAGCAGUAGGGAAUCUUCGGGAAUGGACGGAAGUCUGACCGAGCAACGCCGCGGGAGUGAAGAAGGUUUUCGGAUCGUAAAGCUCUGUUGUAAGAGAAGAACGAGUGUGAGAGUGGAAAGUUCACACUGUGACGGUAUCUUACCAGAAAGGGACGGCUAACUACGUG